rnacentral:miRNA from 1 species
CAGAUUGAUGGUUGGCAGCUGGAUC